CAAAUGAUGAUGAUGCAAGAAAUAAUAUCCCCCAUCAUUUUGACCUCCAUUAGGCAAGUUUGAACCCCUAUAAUCAAUAGGUUGACCCUCAUCCUUGCCAUCUUGAUACAAAAGUGCUCCAUUUUUGAAGAACCACUGUACUGAUGAUGGCAUGUAAUCUUCAUCAGGAUGGAAGAAUACAGUAGGGCCAUAGUGCUUAAUGAGUGCAUGAAUCUGGUCUAGAUUUGGCAUUGCGUGUAGGGUGUAGUCAAGAUUCUUCAAGCAUGCUACAUCUAGCAGAUCAUCACCAGAACUCAAGUAGGUGCUGCAGUAGAAUGUCCCAACGGAAACACCUUUAGCAAACAUUCCCCUUUUGCAGGGUCUUGUGUUCCAGACCUGAAAUUGAUUCUUGAAAGUUUUUGAAUCUGUGGAAAUUAUUAAAUCACAAGUUUCACAGUUUUCUGUAAGAUCUACUCGAACACAUCUAACUUCUUCAAUGCUAGGCUCCUCUGGCUUGUUAGUGACCAC
rnacentral:misc_RNA from 1 species